rnacentral:rRNA from 1 species
UACGGAGGGAGCUAGCGUUGUUCGGAUAUACUGGGCGUAAAGCGCACGUAGGCGGCGCCGUAAAUCAGGUGUGAAAUCUCGGGGCUUAACUCCGAAACUGCAUUCGAUACUGGCGUGCUUGAGGACUGGAGAGGAGACUGGAAUUCAUGGUGUAGCAGUGAAAUGCGUAGAGAUCAUGAGGAAGACCAGUGGCGAAGGCGGGUCUCUGGACAGUUCCUGACACUGAGACACGAAGGCCAGGGGAGCAAACGGG